GAUGAACGCUGGCGGCGUGCCUAAUACAUGCAAGUCGAGCGAACGGACGAGAAGCUUGCUUCUCUGAUGUUAGCGGCGGACGGGUGAGUAACACGUGGAUAACCUACCUAUAAGACUGGGAUAACUUCGGGAAACCGGAGCUAAUACCGGAUAAUAUUUUGAACCGCAUGGUUCAAAAGUGAAAGACGGUCUUGCUGUCACUUAUAGAUGGAUCCGCGCUCCAUUAGCUAGUUGGUAAGGUAACGGCUUAGCAAGGCAACGAUGCAUAGCCGACCUGAGAGGGUGAUCGGCCACACUGGAACUGAGAAACGGUCCAGACUCCGACGGGAGGCAGCAGUAGGGAAUCUUCCGCAAUGGGCGAAAGCCUGACGGAGCAACGCCGCGUGAGUGAUGAAGGUCUUCGGAUCGUAAAACUCUGUUAUUAGGGAAGAACAUAUGUGUAAGUAACUGUGCACAUCUUGACGGUACCUAAUCAGAAAGCCACGGCUAACUACGUG
rnacentral:rRNA from 1 species